GUUCAAUUAGUUCAGUUGGUUAGAGCAUCGGUCUUUUCACCCAAAGGCCCGGUUCGAAUCCGGGUCCCGUCA